UUGGGCACUCUAGUGAGACUGCCGGUGACAAACCGGAGGAAGGUGGGGAUGACGUCAAGUCCUCAUGGCCCUUAUGGGUAGGGCUUCACACGUCAUACAAUGGUCGGUACAGAGGGUUGCCAAGCCGCGAGGUGGAGCCAAUCCCUUAAAGCCGAUCGUAGUCCGGAUCGUAGUCUGCAACUCGACUACGUGAAGUCGGAAUCGCUAGUAAUCGCAGAUCAGCAUGCUGCGGUGAAUACGUUCCCGGGUCUU
rnacentral:rRNA from 1 species